CCGGGAGCCCAGUCCCUUCUUUCUUCUCGCGCGCAGGUUGAUGAAUGCAGGUGUUGAUUUGUGUUUGUUUGUUCCUCAUUCCUCUUAUUGCUUGCUGCUGGGAUCCUCGUGAUCGUUGUGAUCGGAGCUGCGGAUGGUUCUGCCCUCCAGAGGCUGUGCAAGCUGCCUUUUCUUCCAGGGUUUCUGGAUCAGCCCCUGCCGAGCGGCGUGCGCUGUCACUCCACUAGGAGCCUCUCCACCUCGUGGGCUGCCAUGACCGGGGCGCCUCUGGAGGCCAUUUGUGAAGCUGCUUCCUGGACAGCGCCAAGCACCUUUGCCAGGUUUUACAGGGUGAACGUCGCCACGCCGCAUCCCCUGCAGGGAAUACUGGAGCAACCGCCUUCUGCGUCCCGCUGAGGCUAAGUAAACCUGAACCCUGGGUUUAUGUCACUGAAUACUGACUACGUGUCCGGACGUCAUUCUGGAUGAUCAAGGUUAUCUACGUUCUGAGGAUUUCAUUUCCUAUCUACUGUCUUCAUUUGGAUUCGCAUCUAGCUGGCAGUUUCCUGCUACCUUCGCUUCCUGGACCUAGCCGCAAAGCGUAGCCUGUCCACCCUCCAACGUAAGGAUCUGCACACCGAACUCAUUCCUGUUUUGCUCCGAGCUCACACUGAACAGCACCAAAAGAACCUUCUACAA